GCAAACCCCUACACUGAUAUAAAACACACGCGUGGAAGUGGUUGGAGCUGCAUGUACAGGAUCAUCUGAAACAAAAAUGAAAAGCACAUUAGGCUUUUUCAACAAAGCUGAUGGUGUGCUCUGUCCUAACACACUGAUCAGAGGGCAGCAGAAGGCAAACUGUAAGGGGCUCAUGGAGGCGGAAGUACACACACACUCUUCAUCUGAUCUAUGUAUCAACCUACAAACCACCAGCAAAAGAAACAGCAAACUAACGUCAGCACCGGGCAGGCUUCAGGCUUCAUGCCACCAUGCUCACAGGCACUCAGACACCGCUUCACUCAGGAUGGAGAAAGGUUGUUGCUUUGAGUUCCUGCCUUGACUUCCCUCAAGAAUGGACUCCAGAAAGCUGAAAUCAACCCUUUCCUCCCCAAGUGGUAUUUAUGACAGCAACCGCGAAACCCACCCAGGACAUCUUUCAAAGGGUCUGCUUAUAAGUUGUGACAGUGGUGGAAAUAAAAC